rnacentral:rRNA from 1 species
AUUGAACGCUGGCGGCAUGCCUUACACAUGCAAGUCGAACGGUAACAGGUCUUCGGAUGCUGACGAGUGGCGAACGGGUGAGUAAUACAUCGGAACGUGCCUAGUAGUGGGGGAUAACCACUCGAAAGAGUGGCUAAUACCGCAUGAGAUCUACGGAUGAAAGCAGGGGAUCGCAAGACCUUGUGCUACUAGAGCGGCCGAUGGCAGAUUAGGUAGUUGGUGGGAUAAAAGCUUACCAAGCCGACGAUCCGUAGCUGGUCUGAGAGGACGAUCAGCCACACUGGGACUGAGACACGGCCCAGACUCCUACGGGAGGCAGCAGUGGGGAAUUUUGGACAAUGGGCGCAAGCCUGAUCCAGCAAUGCCGCGUGAAGGAUGAAGGCCUUCGGGUUGUAAACUGCUUUUGUACGGAACGAAAAGCCCUGGGUUAAUACCCUGGGGUCAUGACGGUACCGUAAGAAUAAGCACCGGCUAACUACGUGCCAGCCGCCGCCGUAACAC